rnacentral:rRNA from 1 species
UACGAAGGGGGCUAGCGUUGUUCGGAAUCACUGGGCGUAAAGCGCACGCAGGCGGAUCGAUCAGUCGGGGGUGAAAGCCCGGGGCUCAACCUCGGAAUUGCCUUCGAUACUGUCGGUCUAGAGUCCGGGAGAGGUGAGUGGAAUUCCUAGUGUAGAGGUGAAAUGCGUAGAUAUUAGGAAGAACACCAGUGGCGAAGGCGGCUCACUGGCCCGGUACUGACGCUCAGGUGCGAAAGCGUGGGGAGCAAACAGG